GACGAACGCUGGCGGCGUGCCUAAUACAUGCAAGUUGAGCGCUGAAGGUUGGUACUUGUACCGACUGGAUGAGCAGCGAACGGGUGAGUAACGCGUGGGGAAUCUGCCUUUGAGCGGGGGACAACAUUUGGAAACGAAUGCUAAUACCGCAUAAAAACUUUAAACACAAGUUUUAAGUUUGAAAGAUGCAAUUGCAUCACUCAAAGAUGAUCCCGCGUUGUAUUAGCUAGUUGGUGAGGUAAAGGCUCACCAAGGCGAUGAUACAUAGCCGACCUGAGAGUGUGAUCGGCCGCAUUGGGACUGAGACACGGCCCAAACUCCUACGGGAGGCAGCAGUAGGGAAUCUUCGGCAAUGGACGAAAGUCUGACCGAGCAACGCCGCGUGAGUGAAGAAGGUUUUCGGAUCGUAAAACUCUGUUGGUAGAGAAGAACGUUGGUGAGAGUGGAAAGCUCAUCAAGUGACGGUAACUACCCAGAAAGGGACGGCUAACUACGUGCCAGCCGCCGCAGUAA
rnacentral:rRNA from 1 species